AGAGACAGCGCCGCCGGCCGUGGGGAGCGGACGCAGCGAUUUGCUCCCCUUCGCGCAGCAACCCCCACACCCAGCACCAGGCCCCCAGAACUCUCCUUCCAGCUGAACUCUCUGAGAACAAGUCAGUUGGGCUGAUCACUGAACUCACAUUUCUGGACCUGAGGAGCCUGUUCCUCUCACACCCUCACCUGGCUGAGCCGCAGUAGUUCUUCAGUGGCAAGCUUUAUGUCCUGACCCAGCUAAAGCUGCCAGUUGAAGAACUGUUGCCCUCUGCCCCUGGCUUCGAGGAGGAGGAGGAGCUGCUUUCCCCAUCAUCUGGAAGGUGACAGAAAUGGGCUGGGAAGGUCCGAACAGCAGGGUUGAUGAUACGUUUUGGGAAAGUUGUAGAGCCUUUGCCCAGAUUGGCCCAGCAAGGAGCGGUUUUAGAUUAGAGACACUGGCUGAAUUGAGGAGUAGAAGGCUCAAACAACCCAAGCGGCUACAGGAAGCUGUGUCUGUUCGAUUUGGUGGGAGGAGAUGUGCAGGGAGCUGUAUCUUAUCCUCCGCUUGUGAAAA
rnacentral:lncRNA from 1 species